GACAGAGGUCCCGAGCGUUUAGGCGGAAUCACUGGGCUUAAAGCGUGUGUAGGCGGAUUUGUAAGUACCUUGUGAAAUCCCACGGCUCAACCGUGGAACUGCUUGGUAUACUGCUUAUCUUGGGCCAUCUAGGGGCUACCGGAACAAGUGGUGGAGCGGUGAAAUGCGUAGAUAUCACUUGGAACGCCAAUGGUGAAAACAGGUAGCUGGGGAUGUGCCGACGCUGAGACACGAAAGCCAGGGGAGCAAACGGG
rnacentral:rRNA from 1 species